rfam:Candidate divison MSBL1 archaeon SCGC-AAA259E19 AAA259E19_Contig_130, whole genome shotgun sequence.
AAAAACUUCCAUAGCGGCGGGGCAACACCUGGACCCAUACUCUAGAGGAAUAUCCUUGGAGGGGAAAUCCGAACCCGGGAGUUAAGCCCGCCAGCGAUCCGGGGUGUACUCUGGUGCGAGAGCUCAGGGGACCACCGAGAUGCUGCCAGCC